AAAUUGAAGAGUUUGAUCAUGGCUCAGAUUGAACGCUGGCGGCAGGCCUAACACAUGCAAGUCGAACGGUAACAGGAAGCAGCUUGCUGCUUCGCUGACGAGUGGCGGACGGGUGAGUAAUGUCUGGGAAACUGCCUGAUGGAGGGGGAUAACUACUGGAAACGGUGGCUAAUACCGCAUAACGUCGCAAGACCAAAGAGGGGGACCUUCGGGCCUCUUGCCAUCAGAUGUGCCCAGAUGGGAUUAGCUAGUUGGUGAGGUAACGGCUCACCAAGGCGACGAUCCCUAGCUGGUCUGAGAGGAUGACCAGCCACACUGGAACUGAGACACGGUCCAGACUCCUACGGGAGGCAGCAGUGGGGAAUAUUGCACAAUGGGCGCAAGCCUGAUGCAGCCAUGCCGCGUGUAUGAAGAAGGCCUUCGGGUUGUAAAGUACUUUCAGCGGGGAGGAAGGUGUUGCGGUUAAUAACCGCAGCAAUUGACGUUACCCGCAG
rnacentral:rRNA from 1 species